GAUGGGCAUGCGUGACAUUAGCUAGUUGGUGAGGUAACGGCUCACCAAGGCGACGAUGUCUAGGGGUCCUGAGAGGGUUAACCCCCACACUGGUAUUGAGACACGGACCAGACUCCUACGGGAGGCAGCAGUAAGGAAUAUUGGGCAAUGGACGCAAGUCUGACCCAGCCAUGCCGCGUGAAGGAUGAAUGUCCUAUGGAUUGUAAACUUCUUUUAUGCAGGAAAAAACUCCCGGUCGUGAACCGGGACUGAUGGUACUGUAUGAACAAGCAUCGGCUAACUCCGUGCCAGCAGCCGCGGUAAUACGGAGGAUGCAAGCGUUAUCCGGAUUCAUUGGGUUUAAAGGGUGCGCAGGCGGAAUGAUAAGUCAGUGGUGAAAUCUCCCAGCUUAACUGGGAAACUGCCAUUGAUACUGUCAUUCUUGAGUACAGUUGAAGUGGGCGGAAUGUGUCAUGUAGCGGUGAAAUGCUUAGAUAUGACACAGAACACCGAUAGCGAAGGCAGCUCACUAAGCUGUAACUGACGCUCAUGCACGAAAGCGUGGGGAUCAAACAGGAUUAGAUACCCUGGUAGUCCACGCUGUAAA
rnacentral:rRNA from 1 species